UUGAAUUUCCCUUUCGUUGAAAGGCUUUCCCUCUCUCUCUCUCUCGCAAAAACCUUCCCAAACACUCCAGCCUCCGUAACAUAUUCGUUUGGAGUAUGUAUUCCGCAGGAUCAAGAGGGGUUCUUCUUGUUCUUCGUCUUCUUCUUCUAUUUCUUAUAGUAGAAGAAAAAAUUCUUUGGAUGUGAGGGGUUUUGAUGGGAGUGUUUAAUUAGGGUUUUGGUCUCUGUUUGACCAAACUUUCGAUUUCAGAUUCUAAAAAUGGGUCUCCGACUGACCCUAAUCACCGGAAGUUCACUAAUGAAAUGUUGAAAGUUCUCAUUGAGAAGGAUGAUUUCUAUUCCAAGGAAUCCAAUCCUCACUUGGUGUUCAAGUGGAUUCUAGGUCGUGACAUUAAAUUCAAUUGGGUUUUGCUUGUUGAGGGUAACUACCAAUUAACUCCCACAAUGCCACCUCCUCUGUCAUGGUAUUUUUUCGUCCGUCACUCACUGGCAUCCUUAGAUUACAGGGGCACGACUGGGAAAAACCUUCACUUUUCAAGUUGGAUUCUAAUCGUCCCUGCGGAUUUUCUAGAGCAAAUAAGGGUAACCCAAGGAUUAGUGCCAAGUUUAUUGCUCCUUGUUACCAUAUCAACAAGUAAGGAUUUCACUCAUCUUUUUCUCCUUUGUUCACAUUUGAAUAAUGCAUACUUACAUAGCUUAAGGUUGUUGGAACCAUCCCUUACAUAUCUGAUAUUAUAUAUUAAUAGAUAUGCUUAUGCAAUUAUGAUGAUUAGGUACCUCAUGCAUUAAGCGAAACAUUUGUGGUAGCUUAGUAUUAUGGCUAAUAGAGUGAUAGUUUGUUGACAGCGAGCUAUCUCUUUCAAUUCUAUCCCAAAUUUGGCUUGCCUUCUCUUGCAUCUUUGUCUUCCUUUUAAACAUCUUUCUACCAACAACUUAACUAAUUAACACACAACUCUACUCUACUCUAAAGAACAAAUCCUAUUUAACGUAAUUAUAAUAGUAGAUAGUAAUAAUAAUCAGAUCAAGCGUAAGGAUACACAUUAUACCUUCAUCAUUCUAUGAGAUGCUUUUCAGGGAGUUUAGUCCUCCAACAUAUUGUAAAGUGGUAAGAAACUUGGGUAAUAGUUGUGGAUGAAUGUCAUUGCAAUCAUAUAAGUACAAUGCUUUUAGGUUAGUGAGCUGAAUGAGACUUUCUUUGAGCUUUACAAAAGAAUUGUUGCUGAGAACAAGAAUUUCCGAUAGAGAAAGACAAUUAAGAUCAUCAGGAAUAUCUUCAUCAUCAAGUUUGCAGGCACUUAGAUUCAAAUCUCUACGAGGCAAAACACCAUUAUUCCCAACCAAAACCACUCAAAGACCUCCAAAUAUUUCUUGAUAGCUUUUUAUAAUUUAAAGUUUCAAGAUUGUUAAAAGAAGUAAUAGCAUUUGGUGCUUUGUCUAUAAGUGUUCCCCAAAUGUCAAGCAUGGUAAGAGAUGGUAUGGUCCUAAUGGGGGAAUUUGGUGAAGGCCUUUGCAGCCAUUUAAAUUGAGAGUUUGAAGAGACAUCAGUCUACUAAUUGAUCUACAAAAUGAUAUGUAUGACUUUGAAAACAAAAAUGGUUAUGUCGUCAGUCUUACAGAGGCCAAUGCUACAACUACACAGCUUUUGUAAGUAUGCAUAUUGCGCCUGUUAUUUGGUUAUGGAUGUUUAUCGUCUAAUAUGUUUUGGUCUUGGUAUGCUUCUCAUAUUUCGUUUUUGGUUGCUAUAGCAUCUUUCUAAUUAGAAGUUGAGAUUUUUUUUAUGGUUUGUUUGGUUGAAGUUGGUUAUUUAUAAACUCAAAAUUUGUUUGGACUUUCUCAAGUUCUGCUAUCAAGGUUCAACUAUAAAGGUAGGUGAAAAAGUCUAUUGAAUUCGAGUUUUCUGUAGGAAAUUGCUUAGGCUAUGAGUAUUAUUUGAAGCAUGUUUUGUAUAGCUAAGUUGGUUAUUUUUGUUCUUAUGGGUCCAUAAAGAUUGAAUUGAAACUUACAUUUGCAACACUUUAGGAGUUGUUUGGGAGAAGGGUAGGGUAGGUAAUAAAGGAUUAGUAUUAUGAUAAACCUAGUUUUAACAUAACACGUGUUUGGGAGAAGAGUUUAAAAAGGUAGUUUUAUGAUAAGAUGUGUUUGGUGGAAGAGUUUAAAAAUGUAGUUUUAUGGGGGAGUUGAAGAAAUAGAGUUAUGGGAAGUUGAAAAAUGUUUAAGAAGAAGGAGAGAGAGGGAAGAUGGGUUAUGAUAACCCUAAAACAAGGGUUAUAAUAACCCUUUUCUCAAAUAAGGGUUGGGUUACCAUAACCUGACCCAAUACACUAAGGUUCAAUUUCGACAAAUUUGCAGGUUGUUGAAGAAUUCGUGGACCAUGAGAUUGAUCAAGUCCACUUAUGCAUUAGUUUGAUUAUAUUAGAUCACACAUACAUGUAUUACAGUUAAUUUAUUUUUUCGACUAUUGUAAAACAUUUAAAGUUAAUUUACAUUUUCUAUUAUCAAUAUAAAGAUCUUUCUAAGCAUAUGUGCGUAAUGUUGAAUCAUGUACUUCAUUUUUUUUAUAGCAGUAAAAUGUUGAAAUAAGCAAAUAUAUGAUAGAAAAAAUGUGUUGUGAAUUGAAAAAUAACGAUACUAAACAAGUAUCGAUAUAUAAGCACUUAUUAAACAGGAACAUUGUCGUGAUAACACAUUUCUUGACAAGAAUUAUGUGUAACAACAUUUAAACAUGACAUGAAAUAAGUGUCAUCAAUAAUGAAAAAAUGACAAUUUUUUUUUUAUAUCGAGUUAUAGAUAAAUGUGACACAUUUAUUUAAAGCAUCAAAUAAGAACAUUAAUGACAAUAUAUUGGUAUAACGGUGACAUAUUUAAAGCGUCAAUGUAAGUGUAUUAAUGAUAAUAUAUUGGUGUUGAGUUAUAGAUAAUGGUGACAUAUUUAUUGUUUCAAGAUAAGGGUAUUAACGACACAAUUUUGGUGUCAUAUAACCAUAUCAAAGUGUCGUUAAAUAGUCUUUCUUGACAGGGGUUUUAAUGACGCAAAAAUUAUGUGGCUGAAACUUUUUACGACACAAAACGACGCAAAUUUUGCGUCAUUAAAACCCAAAUUUCUAGUAUUGGAUCCCUCACACUUGCUAUGUGUUCUAGUGUGAGAUGCUUAUCCUUGUUAUGUGGUCUAGGAUAGGAUACCCUAUUUUUAUUGUGUGAUCUGGAAUAUGAUGCCUCAUACUUGUAUUAUUUGGUAUAAGGUGCCUUUUGCUUUCUAUAUGAUCUGACAUUGAAAGAUGCAUUAUGCAUGAUGGAAUUGAUGGAGACUUGCUGUGGUGUUGAGAUCACUCAACACAACCCCAACUCAAUAAAAGAGUAUGGUAAAUGCUUGAGUUGAAGAAGGGUACAUCCCGUGUUUACGUCAUUGCUAGCAUGUCAGAUGUUUUAACAAAGAAACAUGAAUCCUUAGCCACGGCUAAAGAGAUUAUGGAUUCAUUAAAAGGAAUGUUUGGGCAACCAGAAUGGUCCCUUAGACACGAGGCAAUCAAAUACAUUUACACUAAGCGUAUGAAGGAGGGGACCUCUGUUAGAGAAAAUGUCUUGGACAUGAUGAUGCACUUCAAUAUUGCUGAGGUAAAUGGUGGUGUCAUCGAUGAGGCUAAUCAAGUUAGUUUUAUCUUAGAGUCUCUUUCAAAGAGCUUCAGACCAUUGCAAACGAAUGCGUCCUUGAAUAAGAUAGAAUUUAACCUGACAACUCUUCUGAAUGAGCUCCAACAUUUCCUGAAGUUUACCAAGGGUAAAGGAAAAGAAGUAGAAGUAAAUGUUGCUACUACAAAAAGAAAAUUCAAAAGAGGAUCGUCCUCUAAAUCUGGACCAUCAAAACUCAAUCAAAAGAUUAAAAAGAAGGGAAAGGGGAAGACUCCCAAGCAGACCAAGGGUAAGAAGACUACAGAAAAAGGUAAAUGUUACCACUGUGGUGAAAAUAGGCACUGGCUGAGAAACUGUCCAAAAUACCUUGCUCAGAAAAAAGCAGAAAAAGAAGCACAAGGAAACUAGUUCUUAAAAAAGGCUUUCUAAGGGCGAGAUCACUCUCAAAGUUGGAACUGGAGAAAUGGUCUCAGCUAAAGCAGUGGGAGAUUUAAAGUUAUUUUUUAAUGAUAGAUAUAUUUUACUCAAGAAUGUCUUGUAUGCACCUCAAAUAAAGAAGAAUUUGAUAUCUAUCUCUUGUUUAAUAGAACAUAUGUAUAAAAUAUCUUUUGAAAUUAAUGAACUGUUCAUUUUAAGAAAAUGUAUUCACAUUUGUUGU